GAACUUCAUUUGUAUGUUUGACUGUAUCUGUCUGUAUUUAGUGGGAUUCUAAUGGGUACAAGGCCAAAACGUUAGCAGAGCUGAACACAGAGGAGGUUUGCCAGUGGUUUAGUAAUAUUGGUCUACAGAAAUGCCUGCCCUUCAUUCGAGAGGCAGAGUUCAGUGGAUCUCACAUAGCUUCUAUUGAUCUCAACACCCUCGAAAUCCUUCAAGUGUCCAGUCUGGAGGAGAGAGAGAGGCUGCUGUCUGCCAUUUACCAUGAGUUACACCCACCAAACUCCACCACCCAAAGACUCGACUCCCUCCUUGAUUUGGUCCACACAAUGUUGAGAAAUUCACAGCAGCUUUAGUUUCCAUGACCAAGUCAAAAUCUUCUCCUCAAGUUGGCAGCAUCAACAUGAACCGAUGUUCAUUCAAAUUCAGGUAGA
rnacentral:lncRNA from 1 species